CAACGCGAAGAACCUUACCUACUCUUGACAUCCACAGAAUUCGGCAGAGAUGCCUUAGUGCCUUCGGGAACUGUGAGACAGGUGCUGCAUGGCUGUCGUCAGCUCGUGUUGUGAAAUGUUGGGUUAAGUCCCGCAACGAGCGCAACCCUUAUCCUUUGUUGCCAGCACGUAAUGGUGGGAACUCAAAGGAGACUGCCGGUGAUAAACCGGAGGAAGGUGGGGAUGACGUCAAGUCAUCAUGGCCCUUACGAGUAGGGCUACACACGUGCUACAAUGGCGUAUACAAAGAGAAGCGAACUCGCGAGAGCCAGCGGACCUCAUAAAGUACGUCGUAGUCCGGAUCGGAGUCUGCAACUCGACUCCGUGAAGUCGGAAUCGCUAGUAAUCGUAGAUCAGAAUGCUACGGUGAAUACGUUCCCGGGCCUUGUACACACCGCCCGUCACACCAUGGGAGUGGGUUGCAAAAGAAGUAGGUAGCUUAACCUUCGGGAGGGCGCUUACCACUUUGUGAUUCAUGACUGGGGUGAAGUCGUAAC
rnacentral:rRNA from 1 species